rnacentral:rRNA from 1 species
GACGAACGCUGGCGGCGUGCCUAACACAUGCAAGUCGAACGGGGUGAUUUUCUUCGGAGGAUCACUUAGUGGCGAACGGGUGAGUAACGCGUGAGAAACCUGCCUUUCAGUGGGGGACAACAGUUGGAAACGACUGCUAAUACCGCAUAACGUAUUUUGGGGGCAUCCCUGAAAUACCAAAGCUUUAUGUGCUGAAAGAUGGUCUCGCGUCUGAUUAGAUAGUUGGUGAGGUAACGGCUCACCAAGUCGACGAUCAGUAGCCGGUCUGAGAGGAUGAACGGCCACAUUGGGACUGAGAUACGGCCCAGACUCCUACGGGAGGCAGCAGUGGGGAAUAUUGGGCAAUGGGGGAAACCCUGACCCAGCAACGCCGCGUGAAGGAAGAAGGCCUUCGGGUUGGUAAACUUCUUUACCUAGGGACGAAGAACGUGACGGUACCUGGAGAAAAGACAACGGCUAACUACGUG